UACGGAGGGUGCGAGCGUUGUCCGGAAUCACUGGGCGUAAAGGGCGCGUAGGCGGCUUUUUAAGUGUGCGGUGAAAGCCCGGGGCUCAACCCCGGGUCGGCCGUGCAAACUGGGAGGCUUGAGCACUGUAGAGGCGGGUGGAAUUCCGGGUGUAGCGGUGGAAUGCGUAGAGAUCCGGAAGAACACCGGUGGCGAAGGCGGCCCGCUGGGCAGGAGCUGACGCUGAUGCGCGACAGCGUGGGGAGCAAACAGG
rnacentral:rRNA from 2 species